UACAGAGGUGCCGAGCGUUAGGCGGAAUCACUGGGCUUAAAGCGUGUGUAGGCGGACGUCUAAGUACCUCGUGAAAUCCCACGGCUCACCCGUGGAACUGCUGGGUAUACUGGGCGUCUUGAGCCACCUAGGGGCCAGCGGAACAAAUGGUGGAGCGGUGAAAUGCGUAGAUAUCAUUUGGAACGCCAACGGUGAAAACAGCUGGCUGGGGGUGUGCUGACGCUGAGACACGAAAGCCAGGGGAGCGAACGGG
rnacentral:rRNA from 1 species